CUUCCUGUGCAAUUUAGAUAUCAGAUUGCUAAAGGGGCGUUCUAUUAAACUGGACACAGGAAAUAUCACCUGAUAGAUGGUGAAAAAGUAGAUUUACGAGAUAGUGUGCCAUAUUAUAUGAUGCGUAAUAAUGAGGUUAUGUUGGAAUUACUCGAUAUUCGAUCAUUUAUCUUCAAAUCUAAUCAAUUCUUCGCAAUUUAUUCACGAAAACAAGUAUUCUAUAAUAACAUUUACAAUUCCAAAAGUCACUAGAAAGAUAUAGAUUUUUCAAAACGUAAAAUUUAAUAUUCUAUAUUUAAAGAAAUUCACAGUACAUAUUUAACUAUUUGUGUAAUGUAUAAUAUUUAAAUUGUAAUUUUUUAAAUAUAACUAAAAUCUGUACAUCUUUUGAAACUUGAAGAUAUUUAAUGCGUGUUUAAUUGGAAGAAUCGUACGAUUAUGUACACUUUUAAAAUCACGUGUAUUAUCUUGGAAAACGAUGAAUCGAAUCGAAAUAUUAUUUGUCGCAUGAUUCAAACUUAUUUUAUAUUGUGUUUUUCAUAUCAAUCCAAGUACGACGGACAACAGAGACCAACCGUGGAAUCGACUGAAUAAAUUUUAAUUUUCCAAGCCGUCAGCUUAUUCACCUGUUGAAACUUCUUUGGGUUAUUCGCAAUAUUACAAUGUUGUUGGACGGAUGUUUAGAGCACAGAUAACGAGAUCAACAGGAUAACAACAUGCGACAUGUUUGAUCAUUACCAUCGAAAAAGGAUAUUUCCAGUGAAAUGGCAAAUUCUAACUCGCGUGAGAGAAAUAAAUCUAAUAUUUAUUAUGAUAUAUUAUUUUGUAUAAAUAGAAUCAUCAUCAUCAAUUUUUCCAUUUUACAUAAAGCUUAUAAAUCGUACGUUUCCAGAUUUAUAUUGCUAUUUUGUCGCGAUAAGAUAAUGCCUCAACUAUGGGAGGUGUUCGAGUGGCCCUAAGAGCUUUGGGAUUCGGGGCCGCAGAUGAUAUUCGUUUCAGAAUAUCAAACUGGCGUGUAACAUCCGUGCCAAGAGGAACACUCGAAUAUUCCUAAUAACAAUGGAUAAUAAUGAAACAUUGGGAUCAGGAUAUAUUUUAAUUAUCUGUGAUCGACAUAUGGACCGAUAACUGUGUUAAAUAGAAAAAUAAAAUUUACGGAUAUUUGAAACUCUUUGGAAUUUAAAAAGGUUUAUGGAAAUAUCAAAGAAGGUCGAAAAGGGAUAAUCGUUACGUAAGAUCUAAUGCAAAUCUAAUACAACAUCGAACAGAUAGGGGGAUUACAAUUAAGCCGCAUUACAAAUGCCACGUAUAUCCAAUAUUGUACUACAAUAUUUGUAUUUCAUCUCUCAUAUAUGAUCGUACACGACAGCAUGCAAUCACAAAUUUGACAGUUAUUAAUGAAAAUUUUAGAUUGACGUUAGAAUACAUCUUUCCAAUUCGAAUAGAAAUCUAUUGGAAUUUUGAAAAGAGAGGAAAACUGGGAUAACAUUAAAAUCAGAGUUGGAAUUUUUUUAGAGAGAUUGUGCACAAUUCUUAUUAUUUUUUUUCGAUGAAAAGAAAAAUUCCACGAUAAGCGAUAAUCAAAUUCAACAAUGAGGGGAAAACGAGUUGAAUUAAUUCCGGAACCGGAGUGCCUAAUGGAGAACUAUUGUCGGUGAUUAAAAUAUAAAUGGGAAAAGGUCAACAGUGAAGCGAUCAGUGUGCACAGGAUUUGAAUUGUGCCCGUGGCACAAGUAAAUGAAAACGAAUAAUUCAUUAAUAUUCACCAGUUAUUCCCUCCCAGUUACUCGAUAUCGAAAGUACUUUUUUUACGAUCCGCUCGUCAUUUCUGAUAAUUUUACCUUCGCCGAAAUGCUAUAUGCCCGACUUUACCGUCUCUUACUUCCUCGCAUACGUGCGUAUCUACGUCGUUAACGCAAAUAACGAUGUUACAUUACAUUCGAAAUUCAAUUUCGCGAUAUUUACAGCACCGUACUAAUUGCAAUUUCGCCCUCGUUCCAGAAAAAAAUAUCACAUGCUUGCACAUGCUUCAAUAAGAACGAGAGUAAUAUUCUCUCUCCUUUUUUUUUUGCUCGCGAUUUUUUCCGAAUUAAACGAGUUGAAACAGAUAAUCUUUUUUUUUAUAAUUUUAUAAUAGUUAUAGACUAUAUAAGACGCGAAAAAAUAUAGGCAAUUUGAACAUCUGUAAAUUAUCCAUUUUAAGAUUUUUUUCUUUUAAAACUCGUUGUUACGGAUCAUAAUAUAAAUUGUAAACGAGAAUAUAUUUCAACGCGCUGUCUGAAGGCGUCGUGUUCAUCUGUCGUAACGGAGAGCGUAAGAGUUUGUAUUUUUACGCGGCUUUAUUACUAGGGCUUGUUCCCUAAGCGCCUCGCUUAUAAAAUUCGCAUUACAUCGUGAAUUACAUCGAACGUAUCCCGUUAACGCCUUCGAGAAAACGUGUUAAACGUUCCAUAAAAGAAUAUUAUUUACGUUAAAAAAAAUAUAUUAACACUCAUUGUUCAAUAUUGGAGAAAAAUUAGAACUGACUUUAUAAAAAAAAGAAAAAAUAAAAUAAAUUGGACAA